rnacentral:rRNA from 1 species
AGAAUCAACGCUGGCGGCGUGCCUAACACAUGCAAGUCGAACGAGAAGUGGAGCAAUCCAUGAGUAAAGUGGCGACCGGGUGAGUAACACGUGACUAACCUACCCUCGAGUGGGGAAUAACAUCGGGAAACCGAUGCUAAUACCGCAUAACAUCGCAAGAUCAAAGCCGAAAGGCGCUUGAGGAGGGGGUCGCGGCUGAUUAGCUAGUUGGUAGGGUAAUGGCCUACCAAGGCUUAGAUCGGUAGCCGGCCUGAGAGGGCGCACGGCCACACUGGAACUGAAACACGGUCCAGACUCCUACGGGAGGCAGCAGUGGGGAAUUUUGCGCAAUGGGGGAAACCCUGACGCAGCAACGCCGCGUGGAGGAUGAAGUCCCUUGGGACGUAAACUCCUUUCGACCGGGACGAUACUGACGGUACCGGAUGAAGAAGCACCGGCUAACUCUGCGCCAGCAGCCGC